CCUACGGGAGGCAGCAGUAGGGAAUCUUCCGCAAUGGACGAAAGUCUGACGGAGCAACGCCGCGUGAGCGAUGAAGGCCUUCGGGUCGUAAAGCUCUGUUGUUAGGGAAGAACAAGUAUCGGAGUAACUGCCGGUACCUUGACGGUACCUAACCAGAAAGCCACGGCUAACUACGUGCCAGCAGCCGCGGUAAUACGGAGGGUGCUAGCGUUGUUCGGAAUUAUUGGGCGUAAAGAGCGUGUAGGCGGCCUCGUAAGUCAGAUGUGAAAGCCCUUGGCUUAACCAAGGAAGUGCAUUUGAAACUGCCUGGCUUGAGUACGGGAGGGGAAAGCGGAAUUCCCGGUGUAGAGGUGAAAUUCGUAGAUAUCGGGAGGAACACCGGUGGCGAAGGCGGCUUUCUGGACCGAUACUGACGCUGAGACGCGAAAGCGUGGGGAGCAAACAGGAUUAGAUACCCUGGUAGUCCACGCCGUAAACUUUGGGCACUAGGUGUUGCGGGUAUUGACCCCUGCAGUGCCGAAGCUAACGCAUUAAGUGCCCCGCCUGGGGAGUACGGUCGCAAGACUAAAACUCAAAGGAAUUGACGG
rnacentral:rRNA from 1 species